rnacentral:lncRNA from 1 species
AGAGACGUUCGCUGGUUUCGAAGAAGGCAGGUGUCUCCGCUUUCGUCGGUCCCCUCGUUUCGGUCGGCGUCGGCUGCGAAGUUGCGUCUCGCUCCACAGGGCGUCCCGGGAUUCGCGGGCGAAGCAAGAAGAAAACCUCCUCAAAAAUCGCCCCCAGCGUGUCGUUCGCCACGGCCCGCAGCUGCGGAUGCGCCUCUGUCGUCGUACAGCCGAGGCGAGCGAGGCCGAACGCAGCAUCCACGAGAAGCGCGAUUCGUCCGGUCACCGAGGCUUCCAUUUCUCCCCUGUCUCUGUUUGCGUGUCGGCGCAUUCGUGCUUCUCGCGCUUCUUCUCUGUGGGGCGUAGCACUGACUCGCGCGCGGUCGUCGGGCUUCUCGUCUGAUCCUGCACUCACGUCUUCGUCUCCUCUCAACUCUCCGGCCGCUAGAGGGUCUGGAAAGCCGGUCUCCUCUGGCCGUUUCCGCUCUGCGCCUUCGCUGCGCGGGGGCGCCCGCUCGCCCGCCUCCCUUUCCAGUCUCAGCCGCGCGAGAUUUCGUCUGAGCCGGGAAGCGGCAAAGGCGAGAAACGGCAUAUCUCUGCACCCGGCUUGUCCCCAGACGUGGAAGAUGCGGCACCAGAGCUCCGUCGUCUCCUCGUCCGUUCCUCGCGCUCGGCGAUUCUCCUCUCUGCCCGCGCGCUUCCGCCUCUCCAGCCUGUGCGCACUGUCGCCUGGUCGGGUCGCCUCGUCCGUUUCCUUCGCUUCUCCGUCUUUCGCGUCAGGGCCUUUUUCGGCCUUCUCUCGCGUCUCCGAGGCCGCCUCAUCGGUUUCUCGCAACUGCGAAACCCGAACCCCAGUGCGUCCGCUUCCCUGCGUCUUCUCUUGCUCUCCCUGUACCGGCUCGCUUUCUCCUCGUUCUCCGCUUCCUUCUUCGCCUUCUUGGACUUUCACAGCUGCGAACCGGUCGUGAAUCGCGUCUCCAAGUCGCACAAAUUUCCGCCACGCUGCGGGAUUCAGGCGUUGCUGCAGACGAGCUUUCUUUGUCCCUCGCCGCUCUCUGCUGCUCGCCGUCGCGUCGGCGUCUCCGUCGAGGUCUCCGUUUCGUCGCGAAACAGAAAGCGGACCCGGAAGAGGCCGCAGACCGCCGGUUCCCUCACGCUCCAACUCCUUCUCCAGAAAAAGGAAUGCUUCGCUCAGGUCGACAAGCUGCGCAGCCGACAGCGCGUGUCGCGGCAGUUUCCACCUCACGUGGCGCCACAACUCGCCCAGGAGGACUUCCUGACGCGUUGCGUCGAGGGGCUCUUCCGCGGGAGACAGUGCGCUGGGAAGCAGGCGUGGCCGCGUGGAGAGAAAAAGAGAUGCGCUCGGAAACGCGAGAGAAAAGGGAUCUUCGCCGGGUGGCGAGGCGCGCCCCAGAUGCGCUGCCGCAAUGUCCAGAGCGACGACGAAGCACGGUCGAUACAGGACGAGACUGGAGAGAGAGCGCAGGAGAUCACACAGACUGUACGAGGGAAGAAGAAGAAGAAAGUGAAGCAGCAGCGGGCGAAAGAGCGAAGGCGGCGGGUCGAAGGGGACCGCAGGCGAGGCCGCGAAGCGCGCAAAGGACGAAAGAAGAAGAGAGACAUGCGCCGGUGUCCAGGCUGGACGCAGAGAGACACAGAGACAUCCAGGCUAACAAACACAUCAGGGACCGUGCCAACACUUUCGCUAGCCUGGCCUUCCCCACUUUUUUUUCACAAGCUUCACCAGUUAUAUUCGCUGUGCCCCUCGCGCUCGCGUCGUGUGUUUGGGCUCUUUCUCUUCUCCAGUCGGCGAGCACACCCACCGAAAAGCCGCGUCCUCUCGAACAGAUGAACCUUGAC